rnacentral:lncRNA from 1 species
UUGACAAUGAUGAUUUGUUACCUGAUGCACUAACGCAUGCAUUCCAUUUGUAUUUCUAUCAUACUAAUGUAAGUAAAUCGAAGAGGAGGGGAAGGACGAUACAUUGGAUCCAGUAUUAAUUCUAAACACUCAUCCAAAAGAGGAUGUUUUCCCUCUUCAGGAGCAGCAAGCAUAUGUAUUUAAGUCCGUCAUAUGUCACUUCCCUUUUCCUUGUCUACUUUUUCUUUCUUUUCAGUCAUACGACCAAAGUGACUCGUCUAGGCUGGAGUAUAGACCACCACCAACAGGAGGUAUCGACGAGUUUCCUAUGCUUUCACCCAUUCCCUCCACACUCCACUCCUUUCUGAGGAAAAAAAAAAACUGAAAUUAGAUCCAGAGUACCUCCAUCAAAGAAAUAACAAUGUUGUGAACAAGGAUUUGAUUUGAAGAACAAAACUACAAAAACACAAGAAAUGAAUGAAUGUUAUAAAACAAAAAAAAGGGCACAAUACUAUUACACAGACACACAAGCAGUUCUUUAUAUAUGAUGCACCCCUUCUACCAUAUGUCACGCUACUUAAUCAAAUCAACGGUACGUAAUCACAAAAAAUACUAGUCCAAAACUCAACAUCAAGAUAGCUGUGGUGAGUGUCUACUGUAAAAUCAAAGCUUUUACUAUUUUAAAAGCUUUUUAAAAUCAAAGCUUUUACUCCUUAAAGAACUGAUCGAUUCAAGUUCAACUCUAUUCAACAACCGUCAACUUUCAAGUUCAAACUUGACUCAACUACUUAUCAAGUAGCUAGCUAGAACAAUCGAGACUUAGCGAUCAUGAGUCGAGUUUAAAAAUUUAUCGAGUAUUAAAAUAUUUAUAUAUUUUUAAAUUAUUAGAUUAUAUUUAUAUAAAUAAAAUAAUGCAUAUAUAUAAUUAAAAGAUUAAUAAAUGUAUAUAUAAUAAUGAUAAAAUAUCAAAGGUAUAUAACUCAGAUGAUUAUCGAAAGAGUUGAGUAUUUGUCUAGGCCAGUAACAAAACAUAAAUAUUCAAAACUCGGCUGAAUAACUUAACAAUCAUAAAAAAAUUAUAAACUUGAUCCAUACAAUGAGUCGAGUCAAGUCAAGUCGAGAAAAGUAUUCGUCAAUCGAGCUCAAGUCUAAGAGAUGAGUAGCUUGGUUCAUUAAGUAGCCCAAGUUUAAUAAUAAAAAGAACGGUUAUCGGAUUUGUGUGAGAAGACGUAUUUAUGUCCCUAGAGAAAUAGAAAGGUCAUUAAGAUGUUCCCAACUAUGAAGUAUGGAAUCAAGGAAUUCAGUUGUUCAGCAAAUCUCAAAAACUGAAGAUUCGGGGAUUCAAAGAAUAUUUUAGUAGUAAGGAAAUUUAAUAUUUAUAUUCAUAUUAAUAUAUUUUAGAUGAUUAAUUAAUGACCCAUAUAUAUAUAUCAAAUAUGAACUGUUACAAACAAAUUAAUCAUGAAUAUAUAUAUAUAUAUAUAUAUAUGUAUUAUAUUUAUGUUCAGGUAUAUAACUUGGUUACAAUUAAAUAGAAAAUAUGCAUGGGUUUGUGUCCUAUAAACUACAUAUUAACUGAUAUUUUAUCUACUAGUAACCCAUACUAAAUCAAAUAAAUUAAUGAUAAGUGUACAAAUAUAGUAACACAAUCUAAUAUUUAUCAAAUUAUGUGAAGGCUAAAGAUGGGUGAAAUAUAAAGAGGGCCAAGUAGCAGGUGCAGAACAUAAUUUAGGGCCAAGUAGCAGAAGCGGAACAUAAUUAUUUUUAAAGGGUAACAGAAAAACAAAGAAGAGAGCCCAAAGCCCGUAUCAUAAAAGCCCACAGCCCAAACAUCCGUACAUACAUAUACAUCGACAUCGUAAAGCACAGACAUCACGAACAUUGCUACACUGCACCAAAGAGAGAAGACGAGAGAAUAUUGAAGGGAGAAGAUCUCACCAUUCGUGGCAAUUGGACUGCAGUCUUCACUGCAAUCCAUGACAGUUUAUGCGAUAUAUGAAGGAGAUCCACCAAUCGCGUCGCCAAGAGGCAAGAUCCCAGUAGCCAGGUUUGAUUUCUCAGCAAAUUAGGGCAAUCAGUUAUUGGUAAUUGUAAUUUCAAUUUUUUGUACAGCUAAUAUUACUAAAAAUGCCCAAUGCGAAUCUCAAAUCUGAACCCACGCUGCUGAACCCUAACCGAUAAGAAAAUUUUGGUUAAAAUUAGCUAAAUCAGUGGAUGAACGGAUGUCACUGCCAAAUCCAGGCGGCUUGUGGCGCAUCCGAAUCCCCACCAAAUCUCUUCAAUGAUUCAUAGUCAUACUGCCAAAUCCCUACUUCCUAGAUUCCUAUUCUCAAUUUAACUAUUAAUUGUAGGAUUAUUAUGUUAUUCUCGCAUUUAAUUAAUACAAAAUUUAAGCUAAAAGCCAAAUGUCCAACUACGGCUACAAGGCAGAGGUCCAAGGACCUUCUACAGCUACAAGGUAGAAUGCCUAAAUCCUAUUACAGCCCAGAUGACCUCUAUCUCUCCCAUUAUAUUCUUUAGGAUUAGCAACCAAAGCAAAAUGGGGAGCCAUAUCAGAAACCUUUAAUCUACCACCCCUCACAAAUGUUCUUGAAGAUGUAAAUUUGAAGUACCUCUUAAGAAGUAAUGGCAGCAAAAGGUAUACCUGGAGGAUACAGUUUUACUUUCGCGAUAAUGUUUCUAUUAUCCUUACCAUACACAACUUUUAACAAAAAAAAAUGUUCAUCUUUUCGUUAUCACAUUAAAUUUGGGCUUUAAUUAGUAAUAGUGGACACACACUCUUAUUAUAUAAAAUAAGUACGACAAAGUUAUAGUGGACUUGUACUUCAUGUUAAACAUCCUUUGGGUUGUAGUACCUUAGCAUCAUAGUAAAUGCUCGACUGGAGCUCGGGACUACCAAAAUCGACAUACUCGAGGUGAAAUUCUUAUGAAGGAAAUCACAUUGGCACCAUGUACUUGACAUCAAGAUAUGAAAAAUAUACGUGUUUACUUUUUCUAAUUUAACUUCCAACUUUUCCAUACGUCAACUAUUACUCCGGAGAAGAACAUUCAAAAAAAUGUAAAUCUGCGGCAAACAGUUAGAGCUCUCACAGGAAACAUAACACUUAAUUUAAUGUAAGUUUUUUUUUAAACAACUCCUCAAAAAAUUCUGGCUCCUAUUUGGAAAAGCCUAUUUCUUUUAGUAGUCUAUUUGAAAAGCUAUAUGACAACUGCAAUCAGCCUCUAUUCAACUACAAUGUACUUACAUUAGAAAUGAAUGACUUUAACUAGAGGAUAUUGAAAGUUUCUUUAUGACUCAGGUGUUUUACAUAUAUAUUUUUGUAUAGUCGAUGAUACAUUUUUUGAUAGGCAAUUAUGGCCCCAUGUGGAUUGGAACCAGCGACCUUGAGAUUAUUCCUCAAGGCCUCUCUGUCACUUCUCCUACCCCUACGGGUUUAUAGUCGAGGUCAAUAUAGAUGAAAGGUCGUACAAUACGUCAAUAUCAUAACCACCGUUUUGAUACUAUUUGCAGAAAAUCAAAGAAGUUACGUGUUGUUCAUCAAAUUUUUCUUCUGUAAAUUGUGGUAAUUCUUCUUAUCUUGCACAUAUAUAUUCUCUUCUCUCUCUCUUAUUCUAAUCAUCUUAUUCAUCUAUUUCUGCUAUUAAAUCUCUUCUAAAAGUCUCAUUUUCUAUUCACUUAUUCUUCCUGCAAACCAAUUGUUCGAUGAAUUGUACGAGUGCAAGAACAUUUUUUUCUCUCUCAAAUCUAGAUUUAAGUAUUGUCUUCUCAAUUCCAUUCCAACAUUAAACAGUCCACACAAGCUCUUUAGUCUUAAAAACAUAUUAACAUUGUUGUUACCAUUGAUAUCACAUUCCAAUCCGAGCUUAUAUGUUCCCAAUCUAACUCUAUAAACAAUUUUCCCACUCAAACAAAUUGAAACUACCCCCUCACAUGAAUGUUACUUCACAAACAAACUUCAACCACAUGUUACAAAAGGAUUUUGUGAGCUUUAGAAAUUUUACAAAUGGAGAAAUUUUGAACUCCUUUAUGGAAGAAAUAAGGGAAUUAUUGUAAAGAAAGGCCACAAUGAUCAAGUUGAGCUCCAACAUUCAUUUGGGAAUGAGAGGGAAACAAAAAGGGCAUGUGCAACGAGUAGGCUAAGGGUGUUCAACCGAUAAAUAUCGAUCCGAACAGUACCGAAACCGGCCAAAUUUUGAUACCAGUACCGGUAUACCGAAUCAACGGUACCGGUUUUUAACGAAAAUUAAUAUAAUUAUUAUUAUUAAUAUUAUUAUUAUUAUUAUAAUCAUUAUUUUAUUAUUAUUAUUAUUAUUAUUAAUUAUUUAUUAAUAAUAAUAAAAAAUUAAAAAAAUGGUAUAUACCGGCCCGGUUCGGUUUAUACCGAUCCAUGAAAACCAUGUCCCAAAACCGGUACCGUUUCAUCGGUAUAUACCAGUUUUCUGUACCGAUACCGAAUCGGUUUACAUUUAUACCGAACCGGUCCGGUUCGUUCAAAAACCAAAAAAACCGAUUUAUUUGCACACCCCUAGAGCAGGCCAAUUAAAAGGUAACAAUGUAAGUGGCCUAUAUAGACAUCCAUUUUGAUGAGGUGGAAAAUAUAGUUGAAAAUUAAGAUUUUUAUAUAUUUUAUAAUGUAUGGAGUAGUUUUAGAUUUAGUGUUAUUUUUAAUUUAGUAAUUUCCUUUUACAAAUAAAUCUAGUUAGGGAAGUUUCCAACUAGUCAUAGGAAGGUUAAUUAGUAGUUAUUUUAAUUAAUAGUUAUUUGUUAUCCUUAUCCUUUUCAAAGUAGAUAUAGGGAGAUAUUAGGACUAUAAAUAUAGGUUGUCUUGAGAUUUUUUAUUAAUACAAUUCAAUUCAAUUCAUAAUAAUAUAUGUAAUGUUAUUUCUUGAAGAAUUCUCUAUCUUGUUAGUUCAAAGUUUUAUCAAGGUUUAUUCCUUCAUCAGCCUUAGAACGUUAUCUAAUUCCCACAUUUGUAUUAGUACGUUAAACUAACCAAGUUAUCGCUGCAUCAAUUAGUAUCAUAGCCAGGUUUAUAUCCUUGGAAUUCAUGAUCAAGAGAGUAGAUGGAACACAACCCCAUGGCAAUCAUGGAGCUUAUGUGUCACGACAGACAUUCGACAACCUGACUCGUCAAGUUGGUGGUAUUGAACAAACCUUAACACAGUUGAUGAAUGUUGUCAACAAUCUAACCAUCCAAAGUCGAGAUGGAUUUAUUCCAAAUCGAGAAAGUGCUGAAAAUCUGAAUUUUGAGGAAAAUUUGGAAUAUGGUAGCGACGAUGGAGAGGAAGAAGAAUAUGAACCUCAUCACCAACUUGUGAAUCGUGGUGGAUGACACAAUGGACGAAAUGGUGGACAUGACACUUGACAUGGUGCUGGUCGCGGUAUAGUUCGGCGCAACGAAUCAAAAUACAAGGUAAAAAUUGAAAUUCCUAAUUUUAAUAGUUCAUUGGAUAUCAAGGCUGUCUUGGACGGGAAACAUGAAGAUAAUAAUUUUUUUUUGAUUUAAUGGGUAUUCUAAGUACAAAAAAGUUAGUAUAGUUAGCAUACAAGUUGAAUGGUGGAGCAUCCGCUAGGUGGAAACAGCUGCUAUUCGUAAGUGGACCAGGAUGAAGACAGUUUUGCAAAAUAGAUUUCUGCCAACAGAUUAUCAUCACCGAUCAUUUCAGCAAUUUCAUAAUUGUUAGAAUAGUCAGAAAAUUAGUACACAGGAGAAGGUCGUGACCCGCAAGUAAUUUUUGAGCACUCGCAUGGAGAUUCAAAGCACAUGACAAUUGAUGAUCAAAUAAGUGAGAAGUAAAAUUCUGAGUUGGACAUAUCUCUAUGUGUUACUCGGACUCGCCAUUUUUGGUGGAGUACCCGUGUCGACCCGACACGACACUGGUACGGGUGCGGGAUCCGUACGGGAUCCGACCACAGAAUCUGGAUAUGGCUGUUCAUCGGAGAAGAAAAAAAGACUAGGAAGGAGGAAGAAGAAAGAGGAAACACCAUGAGAAACUUACCGCAUUUUUCUUCUUCUCCACCGAGUUUGGUCCGAGUUUCGUGGCUUUUUUCUUCUUCUCCAACGAGAUCGCUUAAGUCUGAGUUUGG